rnacentral:rRNA from 1 species
GGGGAAUUUUCCGCAAUGGGCGAAAGCCUGACGGAGCAAGACCGCGUGAGGGAGGAAGGCUCUUGGGUCGUAAACCUCUUUUCUCAGGGAAGAACAAAAUGACGGUACCUGAGGAAUAAGCCUCGGCUAACUCCGUGCCAGCAGCCGCGGUAAUACGGAGGAGGCAAGCGUUAUCCGGAAUUAUUGGGCGUAAAGCGUCCGUAGGUGGCACUUCAAGUCUGCGGUCAAAGACCGGGGCUUAACCCUGGAAAGGCCGUGGAAACUGAAGUGCUAGAGUGCAGUAGGGGUAGAGGGAAUUCCCGGUGUAGCGGUGAAAUGCGUAGAGCUCGGGAAGAACAUCGGUGGCGAAAGCGCUCUACUGGACUGCAACUGACACUGAGGGACGAAAGCUAGGGGAGCGAAUGGGAUUAGAUACCCCUG